ACACCAAUCAAGCCUGGCUUGGUCUUGGGCGACGGGUCACCACCCGCGCCCUCAUGUCCCCGGCUGGACGAACCGUAUCUCAGCGUUGUGGCAACAGAAUCGCUCAGAGAAGGCUCGGACGCGCCGUUAAACCAUUUCAUAA
rnacentral:misc_RNA from 1 species